UUAAAUAUCUGUGUGUGAAAUUAUUUAAAAGAUUAAUUUCACGCGAAGAUAUUUAUUU
rnacentral:pre_miRNA from 1 species